AGUGAAGUGACUUGGUCAAGGUCACUCCGAUAACAAGUGCAGCCAAGGGCUCUAGAGCCUGGGUGUUUAACCCCUGCCCUGUGCUGCCUCAGUGUUGGUGGUGUUGAAAAGUGUGAUGUCAACAAUAACAUAGCAGCUUCCAUUUACUAUGAGUUAGCAGGAGUCAGGCAUAGCACCAUGUACCUCUACGUACAAACUUUAUUCCACCCCAGCUCUGAGAUAAGGGUGAACAGCCCCAUUUUAUAAAUGAGCCAUGUGGGCAGUUGGUGGGGAGGGUGAAGGCACUUGCUCAAGGCCACACAGCUCAUUGAGGAAACAGCUGUUUUGUUUUUUACUCCAGGCAGGUCCUGCUCUAAGCCUAGGCUCUUAACCGACUUCCUCUGCUGCCUCACAUUCUCUUUCUGUUUGACUUCUUCGGGAGGUCACUGCCCAUCUCUGGGCUUCAGUGCACCUUUUUUUUAAAUGUAGAGAUAUGCUCUAUUUUAUAAUUUUAAUUUUUAAGAGAGAUGAGAGUUUCACUAUAUUGCCCAGGCUGAUCUUGAACUCCUGGGCUCAAGUGAUCCUCCUGUCUCGGCCUCCCAGAGUGUUGGGAUUACAGGCGUGAGCCACUGUGCCCGGCCCCUCAGUGCACUUUUCAUCCACCAGUGUGUCUUUCUGAAUUCCUAACUGCCUAGACUGGAGUUGAGGGCUGGGGCAGGUACAAAGGAGGGAGGGGAGGCCGGGGUCUCUGCCCUCGGGGUGUCAGAUGCCUGCCUCCAUCCCCAAGGCGGCAUUUCUCCCAGUGCCUCUUACUGGUGGGGCACAAGCCACCUGCAGCAUGAUGCCUGGAGUGCUUGUUAGUAAGGCCGGUGCCAGCCCUAGAAAUUCUGAUUCAGGAGGCCUAGAUUGGGGCCUAGGAACCUGCAUUUAAAGAAGCAUGCCAGGGGAUGCUGAUACACAGCCUCCACAGGCCCCAUGCAUUCAGAUUCUGCCCGACUCUGCUCUUAAUUAAAAAGUCUUACAAAGAGAAUACGAAGAAUCAAGAAGACGAGAAUGGAGUUUAUUAUCGAAAUCGUGAUUUCCCAAAGUUGUCCCAGUUCAACCUGCAUCAGAAACACUUGAGCCUGCCAUGCAGAAUGCAGAUUCCUGGGCUUCAACCUGCCAACUUCCUAGAGUGGAGGAGGAGCUGAGGAAGAAGUAUGUCUACUUAAGAGGCCCCCAUAGACAUCCAGCCUCCUGGGCUCUGUCUCCAGCAUGAACCAGCCUGGUGGCUGUGACCUGGCCAGGGCAGCUCAACACUCAGGGUUCCACCCCAAGCCCGGUGAAAGUAUCACGAAUUUGUUGAGCAAUCGAAGCCCAAGCUCCCAUCAUCCCAACAGCUGCAGUGAAUCUAUCUGUGACUUCUCUGGAUACCCAUUAAAAAAUAGCUCUCAGUAAUAGGGUGUGGAGGGCUGAUCUGUCUGCAUGGCUCCAGCCAGAAUUUAUUAAGCUUUCUUUUUUUAAUUUCUUUUAAUUUCCCUUUUUAAAUUUCUUUUAAUUUCCCUACCUAUUGGGCUUGAGUGGCUCAUCAAUCAUGGGAUGCCUGCUGUGUAAGGUACAUCCUCAGUGCUGCCGUGUGACAUCCGGCCCACGCCUGUCCCCCAAGAGCAGACAGUGCCCAAGUGUCCUGUCCCUGCUUCAUGCUGAAUCCCUGAUACGAUCAAGCUUUUCCUUCAUCAGAACUUUGUCAUGACCACAUUCCUCUCUGCGUUGUGAAACAUUGGCUGUAAUUGCAAUUGGCUGGGCCUAGAUUGUGGAAGAGGAGGGCUUGAGAGCAGGUUUAUGGGGAAGGCCAUCAAGUGCUGGGCUCCUCCUCAGAAGCCCUUGCUCACCUGAGCAUCAUUCAUGACGAUCCUGAAUUGCCCCCUGGCUGCAAAACCACUAAAGGAAAAUCCAUUGGCUGUAGCCAGCCGGGCUCUCAGAGUAGCCCUGCUGAUGCAUCCAGCCUCAACCUUUGGCAUGUCUAGACCCAGGAUGCUUGUGACAGAUGGCUCCUGCCCCACCUCUCUGCCCUAGCUAUGAGCCAGAGCUAAGAGCAGCCCUGUCUUCUGAUUUCUCCCCACGGUAUCCAUGACCUAGAUCUACAUCCACAGGUAACUCUUGGCCAAGUGCCGAUGAAGGUAUUAGAAAUGGUGAGGGCUGGGUGGGUCUGCAGGAAAAAAAGGGAGUCUUUUACCCUCAGCCAGCCCCACACCUCUACCUGCCCAUAGUGCUCCUGGCUGAGUGCCCUACCUGCUCUUCGCUGGCCUUUCCAAUAUUAAUCACCUUCCAGGCUCCUGAUUAGCCUCACCUCAUAGUUCAGGCUUGACUGGGCAUCUCCUGUCCAUGGAGACUGCUUCCCCCAUAGCACAUGAUCAGUGCUAUGUGUCUUGACACAUAAUUGCUCUUUAAUUGUUUCUGCUGUUUUUUGUUUGUUUGUUUGUUUGUUUUUCUUGUCUCGCAGCUUCCCUAUGAGCUCCUUGGGGCAGGAAACCAGUUCACUUCUGUCUCACUCACUCACCCAUUCAUAGAUUUACUCAUGCAUUUAUUCACUCCCUACUCACUCUUCCACUCAGUCACCUAAAGCGUGUUAUCCUUAAAAGUGUUUUGGCCUCCCCUUGAUGACCACAUAUGAAUGAGACCAGAGAAAUGACCCAUCUUUUGAAAGUCCAGGUGAGAUAUUGUUCACAGGGCUAGGCUGAGUCCCAAGGCCCUAGCCUUGAUCUUGAUUUAUCUCCCAGAGACACAUGAGACUUUGGGUCACUUCCCCAAUGGGGACACUUCUCAGGUAGAACUGGAGCUCCUUCUGUAAGGUGCAGAAUAGGUUUAUUAUUAUUAUUAUUAUUAUUAUUAUUAUUUUUUGAGUCGGAGUCUCAGUCUGUCACUCAGGCUGGAGUGCAAUGGCACAAUCUCCGGCUCAAUGCAACCUCCACCUCCCGGGUUCAAGCAAUUCUGCCUCAGCCUCCCAAGUAGCUGGGAUUACAGGCGCCUGCCACCACGCCCGGCUAUUUUUGUAUUUUUAGUAGAGACAGGGUUUCACCAUAUUGGCCAGGCUGGUCUCAAACUCCUGACCUCAAGAUCCGCCCGCCUCAGCCUCCCAAAGUGCUGGGAUUACAGGCUUGAGCCACCGUGUCCAGCCAUUAUUAUUAUUUUUUAAAGUAGCUGGGCCUUGGUGAGCCAGCAGGCAGGACAAAGCUCCCUGAACCCUGCGCCUUCCCUGCCAGCUGUACUUUCAACAUCUGAGAGAGUGUAUAACAUGGUGAUUUAGAGUCAAAGACUUGGUCUUCCACCUGAUGACCUCGGGCAAGUUGCCCAACCUUCUGGGUCUCAGCUUUCUCAUCUGUAAAAUGGGAUUAACUGCAAUACUCAUUCAAUUUUAUGAAGAUUUAAUGUAAUAAUACAUGUAAAACACUUUGCAUAAGGACCAGAAUGUAGUAACCAAUUAGUGUUUGCUGAAAAUUUUAGGUUAUUAUUACCAGUAUGUAAAUAUUAUUAUCAUCCUCAUUUUACAGAAGAGAAAACUGAGCCCUAGAGAUGUUAAGUGAUGUACCUAAGGCUUGCAGUGAAUCAGUAGCAGAGCUGGUACUCAAGCACAGGCCUUCAGAGUUUGAGGCAGAGGCUAAGGCCAGGGAAUGUGGCUCCCUUUUCCUGCCCUGGCAUGGAAUAAGCCAUGGCCCAGCCAUGGGAUCCCUUCACAUCUUUGAGUUUCAUCUGUUAGUCAUUAGGUUGCAAGUAACAGAAGGGGUAGCUCAAACUGAGUAGAACAAAAAAGUAAUGUAUCAGCUUCUGUAACUGAAGAGGCCAGUGAUAUGUUCAAACAGUGUCAUGGAAAGCCAGUUACACUUUCUGGUUCAGUUAACUUUGUGGUGGCAUCAUUCGUAAGCAGAAUCUUUCCAUGAGGUAGCAGAAAUAGUGCCCAGUAGGGCUUGGCUUGUACCCCUACACCCCAAGCAUGAAAGAACACCUCUUCCCACACCGUUUCAGCAAAAAUCUCAAGUUUGAGUUUCAUUGGCCUGGCUUGGCCAUACAUCUGUCCUUGAACCAGUCCCUGUAGAUGGGAGAUUCACACUCUGAUUGGCUAGGCCUGGGGCACAAGGAUCCCAGGGUGGUGCUUACUCCACAUAAACCAACAGGCCAGAGAGCAGGGGAAGGUAAGGACCCCUUGGAAACCCGGGGUUCUGUUAUAAGAAGGAAGGGGCCUGGAGGCUGAACAGACAAAAAUAAUAGUUACCUAUACAAAUGGGAAUAAGACUUUCACAUUUCUUGUGAGAAUUAUUUGUGAUCAUGUGGAGAGCAUUUCUUUCAUCUUUGGGCCUCUAAGUGGUACUCUUUUUUUUCUUAUCGUCCUUGAUGUUCAUUUGACCCAAUUGUAUCCCCUUGCCCUUCCCAGUCCUCAGAUCCUUCUUCCAACCUCUUCCCCAUCUCAAUCUCUCUUUCCUGAAAUCACAGCCAGGAUUUGAGUCCAUGACUCCCCUGAGGCCCCAGUACAGAGGAGGAGGCCUUAUCAGUCAGGAUUGGUGACAACAGAACCCAACUCCAGUGAGCUUAGCUGAAAAGGGGGAUUUGUUGCUCAUCAGGAAGACCAAAAGGUCAGGCUUGAGAGCAAAAGGAAGGAGGCCCCUGCAGGGUCCAGCUGGGCAGCAAGGACUUCUCAACCGUCUUGUUCCUGUGCAGCUGCUGCUGUGCUGCAAAUG
ensembl:lincRNA